rnacentral:rRNA from 1 species
UACGUAGGGUGCGAGCGUUAAUCGGAUUUACUGGGCGUAAAGCGUGCGCAGGCGGCCCGUUAAGACAGGUGUGAAAUCCCUGGGCUCAACCUAGGAAUUGCGCUUGUGACUGGCGGGCUCGAGUACGGUAGAGGGGGGUGGAAUUCCUGGUGUAGCAGUGAAAUGCGUAGAGAUCAGGAGGAACACCGAUGGCGAAGGCAGUCCCCUGGGCCUGUACUGACGCUCAUGCACGAAAGCGUGGGGAGCAAACAGG